rnacentral:piRNA from 1 species
ACNGGUAACUAGUUCUGAGGUGCUUCCCUUU